UGGGGAAUAUUGCACAAUGGGCGAAAGCCUGAUGCAGCAACGCCGCGUGAGUGAUGAAGGUCUUCGGAUUGUAAAGCUCUGUCUUUUGGGACGAUAAUGACGGUACCAAAGGAGGAAGCCACGGCUAACUACGUGCCAGCAGCCGCGGUAAUACGUAGGUGGCGAGCGUUGUCCGGAUUUACUGGGCGUAAAGGGUGCGUAGGCGGAUGUUUAAGUGAGAUGUGAAAUACCCGGGCUUAACUUGGGUGCUGCAUUUCAAACUGGAUAUCUAGAGUGCAGGAGAGGAGAAUGGAAUUCCUAGUGUAGCGGUGAAAUGCGUAGAGAUUAGGAAGAACACCAGUGGCGAAGGCGAUUCUCUGGACUGUAACUGACGCUGAGGCACGAAAGCGUGGGUAGCAAACAGGAUUAGAUACCCUGGUAGUCCACGCCGUAAAACGAUGAGUACUAGGUGUAGGAGGUAUCGACCCCUUCUGUGCCGCAGUAAAACACAUUAAAGUAC
rnacentral:rRNA from 1 species